GCAGGUGUAGGUGCAAAGUUUGCCUUGGGAUUUGGCUUUGGAGGUGAGUUGGCCGCCACUGUUUUUGAACCCUCUCGCAGAGGGAGAGGGAGGCAUGGUAUUAGAUUGUGGCAGCUUCACGAAAAUAACUGGGAAGUUGUGGUGAAUAUGAGGCUGACGUCGAACCCUUCCCGGGAAAUCAAAUAUCCUUACGUGCCGUUGUGCUUUCUGGCGGGUACAUUCAAUAAUGAGGGGCUGAAUAUACUGUUUCUAUUUGAUGGAGAUACUUUGAUUAAGAUCAGACUUGUAGUGGAGGAUGACUCUCUAGCAACAGAACUUGAUGAGCUGCAUCUGAUGGAUACUGCUGUUGUUACAACCCCAUUGCCACCUAGGCAUUAUGUCCAUGUCGAUCCUAUGGAGUUUAACCGUCUAUUCCAAAGAAAUGCUGCUAAUGAGGAGAGGCAGAUGAAUAGGGAUAUGAAUGCUUGGACCAGAAAUUUUCUUGAGCAGAUUAAUGAAUUCGAUCAGAUAUAGAUGGCGUAUAGAGAAGAUGGUUGAUAGACAUCAUUUGCCCAACACUUGACCUCCAUAAUUCAGUUGAAUACCCUCAACUCUCCUAGCGUUUAACUAGUCUAGUAGACUGUGUAUAGUCUUCCCACAAUCAUCCAGGCCUUCCAAAACAGCCAGUGCUCCUCUUGAAUCCUCCUUUCCACCUAUUAGGCUACAGUCGAUUUCAGGCUUACUGUGGAUAUACAAUCUGCAACAACCUAUAUACCUUUUUAGAAGUAUUUCGAGCUUGUGACUGAUGUAUGAUUCAUCCUGCCGUAUUUUAAAUACUUUAG
rnacentral:lncRNA from 1 species